GUGGGGAAUAUUGCGCAAUGGGGGGAACCCUGACGCAGCAACGCCGCGUGGAGGAAGAAGGCCUUCGGGUCGUAAACUCCUGUCAUUUGGGACGAAGGAUGACGGUACCGAAUGAGGAAGCCACGGCUAACUACGUGCCAGCAGCCGCGGUAAUACGUAGGUGGCGAGCGUUGUCCGGAAUUACUGGGCGUAAAGGGUGCGUAGGCGGUUAUAAAAGUCAGAUGUGAAAUUCCGGGGCUCAACUUCGGAAUUGCAUUUGAAACUUUAUGGCUAGAGUGCAGGAGAGGGAAGCGGAAUUCCUAGUGUAGCGGUGAAAUGCGUAGAUAUUAGGAAGAACACCAGUGGCGAAGGCGGCUUUCUGGACUGUAACUGACGCUGAGGCACGAGAGCGUGGGGAGCAAACAGGAUUAGAAACCCCAGUAGUCC
rnacentral:rRNA from 1 species